AGCGAACGCUGGCGGCAGGCUUAACACAUGCAAGUCGAGCGGGCGUAGCAAUACGUCAGCGGCAGACGGGUGAGUAACGCGUGGGAACGUACCUUUUGGUUCGGAACAACACAGGGAAACUUGUGCUAAUACCGGAUAAGCCCUUACGGGGAAAGAUUUAUCGCCGAAAGAUCGGCCCGCGUCUGAUUAGCUAGUUGGUGUGGUAACGGCGCACCAAGGCGACGAUCAGUAGCUGGUCUGAGAGGAUGAUCAGCCACAUUGGGACUGAGACACGGCCCAAACUCCUACGGGAGGCAGCAGUGGGGAAUAUUGGACAAUGGGCGCAAGCCUGAUCCAGCCAUGCCGCGUGAGUGAUGAAGGCCCUAGGGUUGUAAAGCUCUUUUGUGCGGGAAGAUAAUGACGGUACCGCAAGAAUAAGCCCCGGCUAACUUCGUGCCAGCAGCCG
rnacentral:rRNA from 1 species